rnacentral:rRNA from 1 species
UGGCGGCGUGCCUAAUAAUGCAAGUCGAGCGAACAGAUAAGGAGCUUGCUCCUUUGACGUUAGCGGCGGACGGGUGAGUAACACGUGGAUAACCUACCUAUAAGACUGGGAUAACUUCGGGAAACCGGAGCUAAUACCGGAUAACAUAUUGAACCGCAUGGUUCAAUAGUGAAAGGCGGCUUUGCUGUCACUUAUAGAUGGAUCCGCGCCGUAUUAGCUAGUUGGUAAGGUAACGGCUUACCAAGGCAACGAUACGUAGCCGACCUGAGAGGGUGAUCGGCCACACUGGAACUGAGACACGGUCCAGACUCCUACGGGAGGCAGCAGUAGGGAAUCUUCCGCAAUGGGCGAAAGCCUGACGGAGCAACGCCGCGUGAGUGAUGAAGGUCUUCGGAUCGUAAAACUCCAUUAUCAGGGAAGAACAAAUGUGUAAGUAACUGUGCACAUCUUGACGGUACCUGAUCAGAAAGCCACGGCUAACUACGUGCCAGCAGCCGCGGUAAUACGUAGGUGGCAAGCGUUAUCCGGAAUUAUUGGGCGUAAAGCGCGCGUAGGCGGUUUUUUAAGUCUGAUGUGAAAGCCCACGGCUCAACCGUGGAGGGUCAUUGGAAACUGGAAAACUUGA